rnacentral:misc_RNA from 1 species
GGUAGAUCCUUCUUUUCCGGAGCAACGGCAGUACAGGUGCGACAGCCGAGGCGGUAACGUCGUUAGGAGCGUCAUCGAUGGCAGCGCGUACAUCCUUGGAGAAGAGAAAGAAGAAGCUAUAGAGGAGAGAAAGAGAAAAGACAUACAUCGGGAUGACUAUCGCGCGAUGGAAUCAAAUCGGGACAUCAACGAGUCUUUCCGAAGAUUGACUACUCUUAUUCAUCCCGUCCUGGUAAAGAUGAUGGAUCUGCAACACCUGAGACGUGCAACUUCUCUUUUUGCAGAGGUAUGAUUCAUUCUAUUUAUCCCUUCCGAGAGUCCCUCGUAUAAUACAGCAUUCGGAAUCUCAGUAUAUGAAUCGCA